rnacentral:lncRNA from 1 species
UCUUGUAUUAUGUGUAUUUGUAUAUAAUAUAUAUAUUCAUAUAUGUGUAUUUUUUUUACUUCCCGGUCAGAAAUGUUGCUGCUAUCCAAAUCUGAAUCCAUGAAUGCUCAGCCAUGAGUCCAGCUGGGAAUGAGUUGGGACAGAUGGAGGGAAAAGCAAGGAGAGGUGCCUGAAUGGAGCUCAUCUGAAUCAGCCUGUCACUUAGAGUGACUCUGAGGGGUUGGCUCUUGUAUGCUAGAAAAAUCUCUGAACUUUGUAUUGUUUGUGAAAUGGAAUCUGGACCUCUUCAGAAGGCUUGAGUACAGGUGGGCAAGCAGAGGGCCUCCAUCUCAAAGGCAGAAAAACAUGAUCCAGGAUUUAAGACGGCAAAAGAUCACAUAACUCAGGUGUUCAGCACCAAUGCCCAAAGAGGACAAUGAGCCAGCCACCCACAUCUGGUACAACUUACCAUCCAAUUUCAGGUAAGCCUCCUUCCACUGCUUCACAAUAACUAACAAGCCUUCCAAUGCCCACUUCCACAAGCAGACUUUAGGUCUUUUUCAGGGCAAAAUGCCAUUUUUAUUGUAGUAUUUAUGUUUUGUAUUUCUGAAUCAUUUAACCUGUAUAGAACAGAGCUACCAUUUUUGCUAAAUUUCUCUCCUUUAAAAAAAUUGUCACUAAUGAAAAUUUUGAGUGUUACACCCUUACCUGCAUUUUUACCAUAAGCCCAAUGGCUUUUAUUGCACACUGUGGCGAUUUUUAGGAG